rnacentral:lncRNA from 1 species
CCCUGGAGAGGAAGGAGACCCUGUCUCCCGCCAUCUCCCGCGUGGUGUCUCAGCCCGAGUACGGGGACACCGUGAUACAACAGAAGAUGCCCUUGGGAUGACCUAAUGCUUUUCUACUUUCUUACGGCUCCUUGUCACCUGUGGGCAAAAGAGAGCUUGUGGAAGCUGGAGAGAGUGGCAAGGAGGGCGGGGGUGGGAUUCUGAAUACAUUAAACCCCACUAAUGAAGACGAAAG